rnacentral:rRNA from 1 species
CAGCAGCCGCGGUAAUACGAAGGGUGCAAGCGUUACUCGGAAUUACUGGGCGUAAAGCGUGUGUAGGUGGUUGUUUAAGUCUGUCGUGAAAGCCCUGGGCUCAACCUGGGAAUUGCGAUGGAUACUGGGCGACUAGAGUGCGGUAGAGGAUAGUGGAAUUUCCGGUGUAGCAGUGAAAUGCGUAGAGAUCGGAAGGAACAUCUGUGGCGAAGGCGACUAUCUGGGCCAACACUGACACUGAGACACGAAAGCGUGGGGAGCAAACAGGAUUAGAUACCCCUGUAGUCCCUGUCCUUAUACC